UACGUAGGGUGCGAGCGUUGUCCGGAAUUACUGGGCGUAAAGAGCUCGUAGGCGGUCUGUCGCGUCUGCUGUGAAAACUCAGGGCUUAACCCUGAGCUUGCAGUGGGUACGGGCAGACUAGAGUGCGGUAGGGGAGACUGGAAUUCCGUGGUGUAGCGGUGAAAUGCGCAGAUAUCAGGAGGAACACCGGUGGCGAAGGCGGGGUCUCUGGGCCGUAACUGACGCUGGAGGAGCGAAAAGCAUGGGGAGCGAACAGGG
rnacentral:rRNA from 1 species